AAUAGCUAAUUCCUCACACCUUCGCUGGAGAGCUCUUUCAUCAACUCUGUGAGGCUCUAUUUAAGGGACCUCGUCACUCAGCCCCGUGCCGGGACUGUGUGCUCCGAUGUCACCCCCCACAAGGUGUGCUGCAGAUCGGCCCGACCUUGGGCUCCCGCCCGGCCCUGAGGAGCACAGCGAGCCCUUUUGGUGGCCGUGCCGUUGGUACCGCAUCUGCAUUGACGGGCUUCGGGGAGAGCGGCAACAUCGUGGUCUUGCAACACGCCAAAGCAGCUAUAAAAUACAACCAAAUGACGGGCCAAUGGCAAAGCCACGUCAGAUGGUCGUUGUGAGCAUCAGCACUUCUGGGAAACGCAUGACUGCUAAACCAGCGCUAUAAUGAAUCUGUGCGGAUUCAAAAAGCUCGCAAGGGUUUUGCAGCACUGCUAGGAGUUAGGAAUAGCAGGCCAUUCCUGCUUUUUUUGAGAGAGGCAGAGACCGCAAGCACAAAGGUACCCCGAGAGCGCAUCAACUUCGCCAUACGGCCCCGCUACGCACCGCGGCGGAGCAGAGUUUACCGGGGCAUUUCCAGCCGCACCGCGCUGGAGACGACAGAGCCGCACACGGGGGAGCGGGGCCGGGUCGCUCCGCGGCACCGCUUCACGGAUUACAUAACCGCGGCCGCUCCGGAUGCUCCAGUUUCGCCCCGGUCCGUGCCGCCCGCAGCUCCCGCUGCCUCACCCAAACCCGGCUCCCGCUCUGGGCCCGCCGCCGCGCCCCGGCUCUCUCCCACCCCUCCGCCCGUUCGGACGGCUCUCUCCGGGCCCGGCACCGCCGAGCCCCGAUGCCCGCAGCGCGCCGCGGUCUGCCCCCGCCCCGCCGCUCGGCACCCACCUCCUCGUCGGCAUCCGCGGCGCAUCCCCGCUGCGGCCCGGCCGGCUGCACCCCGCCGUUCCCGCUGCCUCGCUCCCUCCCGCCCGCCGCAGCUCCCCGCCCGUCUGACGGAGGGGGCGGGCAGCCGCGCCGCCGCCGCAGCCCCGCCGCGCCGUCCCCCGCCCCCGCCCGCCGCCAAGGUGCCCUCCUCGCACCCACCUACCGCGGGGGCGAGGGGCCCGGCAGGAGAGGAUGGGAGGCCUCGGGGAACGGCGCGGAGCGAAUCGCGGAGUCACGAAGCGGGGCUGCGGCGGGCAGCGAGCAUCGGGGCUGCGGCCGCGGUCAGAUCCACCGUUACAGCCCUCGUGACAGCCGUGACUCCCCCGUCCCACCUCGGCGGGCAGGAAGCCAGGCUGCUCACGCACAGCUGCAGCUGAGAGCCACAGGUCGCCUCAACGGGCCGGGAUGCGUGUGUAUUCAUGAAAAGAGAUCAAAAGACCUGGCGAUGGAAAUGCUGGUGGUCCUGAGGGACACACAGCUAAUGAUCAGGCAGCAGGUUUAA
rnacentral:lncRNA from 1 species